CCCGAAAGAGAUCACUGCUUCUACACCGUUUCUUUCUCUCCCGGUUAGAAACAACCUCAACAAUCUUGCGUCAUGUCUCUCCCUUCAGCUAUCUCCCACCCCAUGGAAGCUAACCCAUGUCUCUAUCAAAACUAAGUUGGAGCAUUCAUCUGCUGUGCUAAAGGAGCUUAUUGACCCAAAACUGUUUUCCUCAUCUGUAUCAGGUUCAUUUUCUCACAAUAUUUUGUUCUAAUUUUCCUUGCAGUUUUAUCUUGAAUACACAUUAACUUUGGAUUUGGGUUCAAUUUGUUUUGUAUCAUGUGCUUGGAUAGUGUUUGUGCUCUCCAUGGAUGCAAUCCCGGCUCUUCUCACAUAUAACCUAUGGAUACCUCAUGGAGAUUGGUUGGAGCAUAAUCUUCUUACGUACAAGCUAUGUAUACAUAAUGGACAAUGGUCGGAGUAUAACGAUGCUGAUCAGGCGAGCUUAUAAAUUAACAUGCUGUCUAAGUAGAUGACAGCAGCAUGGAGGAGCCUAAUGUCAGUUGUCAAUGUCAUCGCUGGUCAAGUUACUAAUAAAUUUUUGUAUCGACAAAACAUGUCUAAGACCCUCUAUGGGAGAGUUAACAUCUUCAAUGGCCUACCCAGUCUUCAGUUACGGCUGAUGUUGUUGCUUGAUCUCCUGUUCAAGGAAGUUCCUUGCGAAGAUGCCAUGUCCUGGUUGUUGUAGGUUAGAGAAUUGAGUUCUCAUGAAUUUGCUUCUAACCCUUUUUAGCCAGCAUAUAGUGCAGAUAGUUAAACUGUGAAACACUUAACAAUGAAGCUCUUUUUGAACUACUAAAACAUUGAGGGUUUCUGUUAUAAAUCCGAAUAUCUAUUUUUCGCGAACAAUUUGUUUGCAAAAGCAAAGGCAAUGUGAGAACUACUAAUGCUUAAGUGUCGCUGCUGCUGAACUUCUGAUUUUCUGUCAAUUGUGUGUGACAACUACUAAAUUGAAGGCUAAAUAGAUGGCAUGUGAAAUACUCGGUGCUAUCAACUAGGAGUCAUAGCAUUGGCAGGGUAAGUGAAGUUAUACUCUGUC
rnacentral:lncRNA from 1 species